AAAUAUUAAUGCUCAAUUAACCUAGAAUAAAACAUUAUUUAAUUAAUGCAGGAAAAAUUAAAUAAGGGUAAGAGACAAAACCGAGCAAUUCACACAGAAUUGCAAACGAAAGUUCCUCCGACGGCUGCUCCGGCGGUUGUCGAUUUUCCGGCUCAGUCCUCAAUCUCCGAGUCCUCGUCCAAGAUCCAAGUGGGGCCUCCAAACACUCACGGCAGCCACACACACGCACACACACAGUGUAUUCCAACGAAAAA
rnacentral:lncRNA from 1 species